CUGUAAGCGUAUACCAAAGUUGUUGCAGUUAAAACGCUCGUAGUCGGAUUUUGGUGCGCGCCGGGCUGUGCGCGUAGUGCGUGCGGCGCGGGGCGUGCUUUUGUGGAGGGCGGCCGCUCGUGGCUUUGCUGUUGCGGGUGUGUCGGCGCCACCGUUUACUGUGAAAAAAUUAGAGUGUUCAAAGCAGGCGUUUGCCGUGAAUACAUUAGCAUGGAAUAAUAGAAUAGGACUCGUACCUAUUUUGUUGGUUUGUGAGGGCCGAGUAAUGAUUAAGAGGGACGGUUGGGGGCAUUUGUAUUCCGGCGUCAGAGGUGAAAUUCUUGGAUUGCCGGAAGACAAACCGCUGCGAAAGCGUCUGCCAAGGACGUUUUCAUUGAUCAAGAACGAAAGUAAGGGGAUCGAAGACGAUCAGAUACCGUCGUAGUCUUUACUAUAAACGAUGAGAACUGGGGAUCGGGCGGGCAUUAUGAUGACCCGUCCGGGACCCUCCGGGAAACCAAAGUGUUUGCUUUCUGGGGGGAGUAUGGUCGCAAGGCUGAAACUUAAAGGAAUUGACGGAAGGGCAUCACCGGGUGUGGAGCCUGCGGCUUAAUUUGACUCAACACGGGAAAACUUACCAGGUCCGGACAUAGUGAGGAUUGACAGAUUGAGAGCUCUUUCUUGAUUCUAUGGUUGGUG
rnacentral:rRNA from 1 species